rnacentral:lncRNA from 1 species
GUGAGCAAGCCUUUAAUAUUUAGAAAUGGCAUCUCAGCUCUCAGAAAAGCAUGCAGAAAAUAAAAUCAUCCCAAAACGAUGAUUCUUUUUCAGAGAUUCAAGAAGAAUCUGUCCCAGAAGUCGUUGCGCUUAAAUCAAAGGGACCCAAACGAUACGACAACAAACUGAACGUGGCUUGUUUGGCAAGGGCUUUCUACCCUAAGAACAUCAGCCUUGAUGUGCCCAUGAGUGACACUGUGUAUGAUCUGAAGGCACCUCUUCUCACAUCUGAGGGGAUAUACAGCACCAUGAAGGUAGCUGGAGUGGAAUCAGAUGCCAAGGUGACCUGCAAGGUCACGCACAAGGGGAACAAGACUACCACCAGCAUAAUUCUGCCAGAAGAGAAGACUGAGGAAUUUGGAACAGUUAAUGCCUGCAAGAUUACAGAUGCCUCCACAAAAGCAGAUGUCAAAAUGGAGAGAAUGAAUAUGCUGUUCAUGGCUGUUUUGGGUUUGAGAGUCCUGCUGGUGAAAAGCAUCACCUUGAAUAUAAUCAUGAGUAUCACGCUGUUUCUCUUCUGAGGUAUUGGGUGAGUGAGCCAGCAAUGGACUGAAGAAGAGCAGGAAAGAACGCACCGCAGGAUAAUUUAAACACCAUGGGUCAGCUCUGUUACAGACAAACUUCCAAAGAAUCAACACCCCCCUCCAGCCCCCCAGUUCCAGUAGAUUGAUGAGUCCCUUUAUUGCAUCAAGGUGCUCUUCAAUUAACACCACCUGGAAGUCUUCUUAUACAGCUAACACUGCUGCACUUUUGUCUAGCUUGGUAGUUUCAUUAAUUGUUAGAACAAUUAUUUCUAAUUUCCAUAAGAAAUUUCCCUUACCCCUCUGCUAACUCCUUAGCUCUCCUGCUCCUGCAUCCAUGGCACUGAAGCAUUCAAAUUGCUUAGAUGACAGUUUCAAAAGCUUAAAAUUUAACUUUAUACUCACAGUGCUUUAAAUAUAUUACCUCUGGUCAUAUUGCAUUAUUGUCUACCGAAGUAAUGCUUUUCUGCUUAGGGAUCCCAGGCACAGAGGGAGCAUCGGAUAGUUUUAAUUUUUAGAAUCUUUUAUUACUGGCAAUUUUCUAGUGCAUGUAACCAGAUCUUCAGUGGACCUGAAGGAACUCAGUUCAGACAGGUACACAGUAGUAUUUUCAUUUCCAUCUCUUCUUUAGAGCAUUCUUCUAUUUCGUUAAGUAUAUGGUACUCGCAUUUUAGGUUUGCUUAAUAUACACCAAAAUAAAGUUUUAUUUUGCUUGGUUUGCA